AUGUCAUCUAGUCGGCUUCCUAUGCAAAUUGAAAAGGCACCAUUCAUAAGCAACACCACAUCAGUGGGAGGCUUCACUGAGCAGAUGGCACCAUUUAACAUGCCAAGCAACACAAGCUCAGUAGGAACGAUGUUGAAUGGUAGCUCUGCACUUGAUGCAAGUAGAACUUCAACUAAAGAUACUCAUCUAGUCAACAGUGAAAGAACUACUUCGAUGCUUCACAACCUUCAGACAGACGAUUUCUUCUCGUUGACUCAGCUGCUUGAUUGCGGGGAUGGAGGUAGUAUUCUUCCUAUGCAAGAAGGCGCACUUGAUCAUCAACCUCUUAAUGAUCAACUGAAUGAAAUCAAUGCCUUCUCAAUCGAUGAUAUACUUUCCAACAUGAACCUAGAAGAUUUCACAGGAGAUGACGCUAUCGUGGAGGAACCAUGA
rnacentral:rRNA from 1 species